CUUCACCGAGCCGAGCAGCAACGGCCGCUCCUCGGGCCGGUCCUGGCCGUACGUGGCGAGGAGGGCCUGGGCCUC
rnacentral:antisense_RNA from 1 species